rnacentral:rRNA from 1 species
CCAGCAGCUGCGGUAAUUCCAGCUCCAAAAGCAUAUAUUAAAGUUGUUGCGGUUAAAAAGCUCGUAGUUGGACUUCUGCUUUGGUUGGUUGGUCUACCCACUGGGUAAGUAUCUGGCAUGACUGAAGCAUGUGUUGCAAAUAUACUACUGCACUUGACUGUGUGGUGUGGUAUUUAUCGCUUUUACUUUGAGAAAAACAGAGUGUUCCACGCAGGCGGAUGUCUUGAAUAUGUGAGCAUGGAAUAAUGAGUCAAGGCUUUGGUUAGUUGUUGGUUCAAAACAUUGGGUAAUGAUGAAUAGGGAUAGUUGGGGGCACUUGUAUUUAAUUGUCAGAGGUGAAAUUCUUGGAUUUGUUAAAGACAAACCACUGCGAAAGCAUUGGCCAAAAAUGUUUUCAUUGAUCAAGAACGAAAGU